CAGUGUAUCAGACGACUCUAAACAGUUGGUAUUCAUGCAAGUCAGCGCCUGCUGGCGACACUUUCGAACUGACGGGGACACCCUAAAGUCCUUCACACCAAGCCGGCCGGGGAAACCCGCCGGUGGCCCAUGGGAAACUAUGGGGUAUGGUAACAGAGGAAGGAAUGAGCCGCCACGGCGGUGAAAUGGGCAAUCCGCAGCGAAGCUCCUAACGUCAUCGGAGGCGCCUGGCGCCGCCGAACCACGGAGAACGUUCACAGACUAAGUGGAAGUGGGUGGGGAGCGAUCCCUGCUUAAGAUAUAGUCGGGCCCCUCUGGAAACAUUGGGGGUAGUGAGUGCUGGACGGGGCGCGCCUCAGGGCGGGUCCCGGCCAGAUCCAAACCGUUCCGUAGGUGAACCUGCGGAAGGAUCAUUACCGUUGGAGGUCAAACUCCAAUUGGGAUAGACACCCUUGCCUUUGAGUACCUUUUCGUUUCCUCGGCGGGCUCGCCCGCCGGUGGACAGCCAAAAACUCCUUGUAAUAGCAGUAUCUUCUGAGAAAAAAACAAAUAGUCAAAACUUUCAACAACGGAUCUCUUGGUUCUGGCAUCGAUGAAGAACGCAGCGAAAUGCGAUAAGUAGUGUGAAUUGCAGAAUUCAGUGAAUCAUCGAAUCUUUGAACGCACAUUGCGCCCUUCGGUAUUCCGUUGGGCAUGCCUGUUCGAGCGUCAUUUAAAAAUUCAAGCUCAGCUUGGUGUUGGGUGCUUGUCCCCCCUCCGCGGCGGACUCACCUCAAAUGCAUUGGCGGCCGGCAUGUUGGCUUCGAGCGCAGUAGAAACGCGCCCGGUGUCUGGACGUGCCUGGCCUUCCACAAAGCCCACUUUGAAGCUUGACCUCGGAUCAGGUAGGGAUACCCGCUGAACUUAAGCAUAUCAAUAAGCGGAGGAAAAGAAACCAACAGGGAUUGCCCUAGUAACGGCGAGUGAAGCGGCAACAGCUCAAAUUUGAAAUCUGGCCCUUUCAGGGUCCGAGUUGUAAUUUGUAGAGGGCGCUUUGGUGUUGGCUGCGGUCUAAGUUCCUUGGAACAGGACGUCACAGAGGGUGAGAAUCCCGUACGUGGUCGACAGUCUCCACCGUGUAAAGCCCCUUCGACGAGUCGAGUUGUUUGGGAAUGCAGCUCUAAAUGGGAGGUAAAUUUCUUCUAAAGCUAAAUAUUGGCCAGAGACCGAUAGCGCACAAGUAGAGUGAUCGAAAGAUGAAAAGCACUUUGGAAAGAGAGUCAAAAAGCACGUGAAAUUGUUGAAAGGGAAGCGCUUGCAAUCAGACUUGCCCGCAGUUGCUCAUCCAGGCUCUCGCCUGGUGCACUCUUCUGCGGGCAGGCCAGCAUCAGUUCGGGCGGCUGGAUAAAGGCCUCUAUCACGUAUCUUCCUUCGGGAUGACCUUAUAGGGGAGGUGUAAUGCAGCCAGCCUGGAUU
rnacentral:rRNA from 1 species